rnacentral:ribozyme from 1 species
CGAAGGUACAUGGACAACCUGUCCUCUCCCCUCUCUUCUUAUUCCCUCAAAACGACAGAAUUGAUCGAGUUCCGAAAAAUGCCGCAAUCUCUCACCAUUUCAGACGCUGAUGGCGCAACUCGUAUCGUUCAAGCAGAUCUUGAUGUUCCUGCAGAGGAGCUUUUUCUUCGAGCUUGCCAAAUUUUUGGAAAAAAA